rnacentral:rRNA from 1 species
GAUGAACGCUGGCGGUAUGCUUAACACAUGCAAGUCGAACGGACUCUUCGGAGUUAGUGGCGGACGGGUGAGUAACGCGUGAGAAUCUGGCUUUGGGUUCGGGACAACCACUGGAAACGGUGGCUAAUACCGGAUGUGCCGAGAGGUAAAAGAGAAAUUGCCUGAAGAUGAGCUCGCGUCUGAUUAGCUAGUUGGUGAGGUAAAGGCUCACCAAGGCAGCGAUCAGUAGCUGGUCUGAGAGGAUGACCAGCCACACUGGGACUGAGACACGGCCCAGACUCCUACGGGAGGAAGCAGUGGGGAAUUUUCCGGAAUGGGCGAAAGCCUGACGGAGCAAUACCGCGUGAGGGAAGAAGGCUCUUGGGUUGUAAACCUCUUUUCUUAGGGAAGAACAAAAUGACGGUACCUAAGGAAUCAGCAUCGGCUAACUCCGUG